rnacentral:rRNA from 1 species
UACGUAGGGCGCAAGCGUUGUCCGGAAUUAUUGGGCGUAAAGAGCUCGUAGGCGGUUUGUCGCGUCUGCUGUGAAAUCCCGAGGCUCAACCUCGGGCUUGCAGUGGGUACGGGCAGACUAGAGUGCGGUAGGGGAGACUGGAAUUCCUGGUGUAGCGGUGGAAUGCGCAGAUAUCAGGAGGAACACCGAUGGCGAAGGCAGGUCUCUGGGCCGCAACUGACGCUGGAGGAG